CAAACUCCUACGGGAGGCUGCAGUAGGGAAUCUUCCACAAUGGGCGAAAGCCUGAUGGAGCAACGCCGCGUGUGUGAUGAAGGCUUUCGGGUCGUAAAGCACUGUUGUAUGGGAAGAACAGCUAGAAUAGGGAAUGAUUUUAGUUUGACGGUACCAUACCAGAAAGGGACGGCUAAAUACGUGCCAGCAGCCGCGGUAAUACGUAUGUCCCGAGCGUUAUCCGGAUUUAUUGGGCGUAAAGCGAGCGCAGACGGUUGAUUAAGUCUGAUGUGAAAGCCCGGAGCUCAACUCCGGAAUGGCAUUGGAAACUGGUUAACUUGAGUGCAGUAGAGGUAAGUGGAACUCCAUGUGUAGCGGUGGAAUGCGUAGAUAUAUGGAAGAACACCAGUGGCGAAGGCGGCUUACUGGACUGUAACUGACGUUGAGGCUCGAAAGUGUGGGUAGCAAACAGGAUUAGAUACCCUGGUAGUCCACACCGUAAACGAUGAACACUAGGUGUUAGGAGGUUUCCGCCUCUUAGUGCCGAAGCUAACGCAUUAAGUGUUCCGCCUGGGGAGUACGACCGCAAGGUUGAAACUCAAAGGAAUUGACGGGGACCCGCACAAGCGGUGGAGCAUGUGGUUUAAUUCGAAGCAACGCGAAGAACCUUACCAGGUCUUGACAUCCUUUGAAGCUUUUAGAGAUAGAAGUGUUCUCUUCGGAGACAAAGUGACAGGUGGUGCAUGGUCGUCGUCAGCUCGUGUCGUGAGAUGUUGGGUUAAGUCCCGCAACGAGCGCAACCCUUAUUGUUAGUUGCCAGCAUUCAGAUGGGCACUCUAGCGAGACUGCCGGUGACAAACCGGAGGAAGGCGGGGACGACGUCAGAUCAUCAUGCCCCUUAUGACCUGGGCUACACACGUGCUACAAUGGCGUAUACAACGAGUUGCCAACCCGCGAGGGUGAGCUAAUCUCUUAAAGUACGUCUCAGUUCGGAUUGUAGUCUGCAACUCGACUACAUGAAGUCGGAAUCGCUAGUAAUCGCGGAUCAGCACGCCGCGGUGAAUACGUUCCCGGGCCUUGUACACACCGCCCGUCACACC
rnacentral:rRNA from 1 species